GAGGGUACAGCUCCAGCGGUAGAGCACAUGCUUAGCAUGCAUGAGGUCCUGGGUUCAAUCCCCAGUACCUUCU
rnacentral:tRNA from 1 species